rnacentral:rRNA from 1 species
GACGAACGCUGGCGGCGUGCCUAACACAUGCAAGUCGAGCGAGUGAAUCUCCUUCGGGAGUGAAGCUAGCGGCGGACGGGUGAGUAACACGUGGGCAACCUGCCUCAUAGAGGGGAAUAGCCUUCCGAAAGGGAGAUUAAUACCGCAUAAGAUUGUAGCUUCGCAUGAAGUAGCAAUUAAAGGAGCAAUCCGCUAUGAGAUGGGCCCGCGGCGCAUUAGCUAGUUGGUGAGGUAACGGCUCACCAAGGCGACGAUGCGUAGCCGACCUGAGAGGGUGGUCGGCCACAUUGGGACUGAGACACGGCCCAGACUCCUACGGGAGGCAGCAGUGGGGAAUAUUGCACAAUGGGGGAAACCCUGAUGCAGCAACGCCGCGUGAGUGAUGACGGCCUUCGGGUUGUAAAGCUCUGUCUUCAGGGAUGAUAAUGACGGUACCUGAGGAGGAAGCCACGGCUAACUACGUGCCAGCCGCCGCCGUAACAC